rnacentral:rRNA from 1 species
UACGAAGGGGGCUAGCGUUGCUCGGAAUUACUGGGCGUAAAGGGCGCGUAGGCGGCACUGUUAGUCAGGCGUGAAAGUCCUGGGCUCAACCUGGGAACUGCGCUUGAUACGGCAGAGCUAGAGGAUGGAAGAGGCUCGCGGAAUUCCCAGUGUAGAGGUGAAAUUCGUAGAUAUUGGGAAGAACACCAGUGGCGAAGGCGACUCACUGGACACAUAUUGACGCUGAGGUGCGAAAGCGUGGGGAGCAAACAGG